UUCAACGGUGAAAAAGUUAAACGGCUGAAUCGUAGAUUAGAGCUUAACUAAUGCAGUGAGGUAGGAUAGAGAAGGACCACAUUUUGUUCAGUAAAAACAUCGAACCUGUCGCCAUUGUGCCAAUUUAUUGUCCUGGUCUGGUUUAUGAGGUGGAACGUUCUUCAGACCAGCUGAGAACCCAGAGUGAGUCUCUGGACCGUCGAAGAACAUUGCAGAGAUUUGAGAAGAGGUUUCAGAGACUCCAGAGAGACCAGCUUCCAGUAGUGGAUGGCGAGUCCAGUCCACAAGAAGCUGAACCUGUUGGCGAUAGUAGACUACUGUGAACGAAGGAACCCUCCUAUUUUCACCCUCUACUUUGACUAUGUCUGACUGAGGACCCCAGACCAGCUUCACCUGCAUCUAGCAGUGUCUCUAUGAGAAGUGACAGGUCCAUGGAGCAUCCAUUCCACUUCAGGACAGAACCAAGCCAAUUUCUGGGGCCAAUACCAGAGAUGUGUGCCUUUCAGUGGUCCCCCAACAGGGGAUCCAUCUGAGGAUGACCCCAUGACUUCAUAAAAGAUUCUCUGCAGGAUUUCCUGUUCUGUGCUGCUUAUCAAAGUCUGUAUAACCCAAUGAACCUGUAUGUGCACAUCAGAAAUUGGGCUGUACUAUUGUACUAUUUUUAUAUAGAAUUUAUAUUUAUAGCACAUAACUCCCUGUAAGAGUUGUAUAGAACAACUAUAGCACCAAAUGAUGGGCUCGUCCAGGAUUUGAACCCAGGACCUCUUAUACCAAAAGCGAGAAUCACACCCCUAGACCAACAAGUUACACUUUCAGUAAAAAAUGACAUUUUCAGCCAUCCUUUAUAUUUCACAUAUAGCUUUUAUUCUAUUCUAACUCAGGGAGUUACACCAUCAUUUGGUUGUCUUGUUGUCUGCAGCUGUUUAAUGAGAAUAAAGGUCUUGAGUCUUGAAUCUAGUAGACAUAACUCCUACUGUUGCAGUGUUUGGAGAAAAACAAAGCAGUGUUAAAUUUUGCUUAAAUUUCCCUCGGGAUUGAUAAAGUAUCUAUCUAAAUCAUUUACUACAGAUACUAUUUUGAUGUUAAAGUCUGAUUUGUUUUGUAAAGUUGGAGUAUUUCAAUGACAUAUAAAUUCUUUCUUUUCCCCUUAAAUACUCUGCAGCAUUCCCUAUUCUGUGGUACUUAGUAAUGUCCAUAUAACCCAAUGAACCUGUAUUACCCUGAAACUGGGCGAUAUAUUGUACCCAGGAUCUCUCACACCCAAAGCAAGAAUCAUACCCCUAGACCAACGAGCCACACAACAAGCCUUAAAAUGAGGACAUUUCAGACUAUAUUUUACAGCACAACUUACGUUUUUUUUUGCCACCCCAAAAUAUUUAGUGCCUCCAUCCCCUCUGGAUAAUUUGUCUAUGCACUCCUGCUGACCACCAAUAAUAAAACUAGUAUGUUAAGUUAUGUACCGGGUGGGCCAUAAGUUUGCAUACAUAGGAAAAUGUAUAAUGUAUAUUUUGUAUGUCUCAGACACCCUAGAAGACGUGUUUGACGCUAGCUUAGGGGGCAUUUGAAGGCCAUGGUGUAUCAGGUGAAGAUACGAGACAUAAAUCAUCUCCAGGAAUGUAUCACCAACAUCAUCACUAAUGCAAGUUCAUCAACAGUGGAAAACACGGAUUAAUAUGGGUUUUUGAAACAAUGAUAAUCACAUAGAUCACAUUAUAGAAAUAAAAACAGUUGUCCAACAUAAAAUGUUUAUUUUUCCUGUGUAUGGAAACUUCUGGUCCACCCUGUAGUCACCUUUCCCGUUAUAGCAGGUAUCUAUUAAUCUGUCCCUCCCCGACCACCUGAGAGCUCCACAGUGGAUGUUUUUUUUAAAAAGGCUUAAAGAGCUUCUUUUUUAACAAAGCUUUGUACCCCCCUGCUAUCCUCAUUUACAGGCACCAGAAAAUAUUGUUUCUUUGUCUUAAAAAAAUCCAGCAAAAGAAUUCCCCAAAUUUCUGAAAAUUUGCAAAACCUUCAGGAAGAAAAUUUCAAUAAUUCCUUAAAAGUUUCCCUUAAAAGUUUAAUUUUUUAAAAAAUCCUCCAAACUUGGCAAGAAAAUUCUUGUAAAUAUUUUCAAAAAAUGAGUAAAAAUCUUCCAAAAAAUCCUAAAAAUAUAUAGUGACCCCAUAUAUAUCAGUAAAACUUCUAAUAUUUUCUUUAAUUAGAUUUUUUUUGUGAAUGUUCUUCAGAAACAUUUUUAACAUUUCUUUUUUCCACCAAAAAAUGUUCAAAGAUUUCCCAAAAAUGUUGAAAAUGUGGACAUCAGAAGUUUCACUGUGAAUAUAUGUUUUUUCCCACAUUUUCAAACUUUAAAACAGGUCAAUUUUGACCCGCAGGACGACAUGAGGGUUAAUUAAACGUGUCCCUGAAAUUUUUAUUUUUAUUUUACCUGCUUGUUUUGUUUCUAUCCUUUUAUAUCUUUAAUGUAGCACUUCGAGAUUUU